rnacentral:lncRNA from 1 species
CUGCAGCUUGAGUUGUCCUUUUCUGUCAAACAGAAGAUCGCAUCUGCCCUUCCAUAUCUUCGUCGAAAUCGAAUGUCUCCUAGCAUACGAGCCCUAGUAGUUAGAGGACUUCUUUGCAAAAAAGCCCCAAUGCGGUGUGAUGAUGACAUCUUCUUGGCCAUGACCCACGAGAUAGUGGACUUUGGGGAUAAGAAUAAAUCAGUUUUUCUAAGCCUUUAUUGCUAGCAUCACAGACAGAGGGAAAUAUCAUAUGCAUAUGUGUCUUGUGUCUUCGCUUCAAAGUCAACUAUGGCGAGAGGUGGUGUCCUGGGUACAAUGAUGUGUGCAUUUCUAUUUUAAACUAAAAAAGUAGGCCACGAUAAAAAGGAGCAUUAUUUCUUUUCCCCAGGCAGGCACCCAUACCUUUGGGAUAUUGUAUUUUUAUUUUAUUUUUUCCGUUGAUUAAAUUGCUUGAGCCAUUUGCACGCCGGCUAUGAGAACUUUCGCACCACCUCCUCAUUUCUCUUUGUUUAGCCCGUUGACGGACUGUCUGUGAGAGCUGGCAUAUCUCUGGGUGAUCAGGAGUUGAAUUAUUUGUCAUAUCCUCGAAAGUAAAAAAGAAGUAUUUUGCAGAUUAUUUAUUCUGCUAGUGCUAUUGUGCUUAUCUUGUAAUAAUAUGACAGGUGGCAGAAUUAUACUUUUGCGGAGUGAAAGUCCUUGCACUACUUCAUGAAAAAUAAUUGGUUUUUCUUUCAACGUGAUGCGUUCUCACCGGACAACAAUUAACAACUGAUAAUUAAUAGUUAUAACACACACAUUCUUUUAUAGGAAGAGUCUCUAAGGAAAAGAAAUACAUCAUACAAAAAUAUUUAUGCAUUAAGAAAUUUGUCGUAUAAAAAUAUCCAUGAAAAUAAAGUUUCAAGUUGUGCAUAU